CUACGGACUUAAUUGGAUUGAGCCUUGGUAUGGAAACCUACUAAGUGGUAACUUUCAAAUUCAGAGAAAUCCUGGAAUAAAAAAUGGACAAUCCUGAGCCAAAUCUUAUUAUUUUAUUAUUUUACGAAAAUGAAUAUGAACAAAGGUUCAGCAAGCGAGAAUAAUAAAAAAAGGAAAGGAUAGGUGCAGAGACUCAAUGAAAACUAUUCUAAUAAAUAGGGUUGACUAUUGAUAAAGGAAUCCUUAUAUCGAAUAUCAAAAUUCUAGAAAAG
rfam:Gossypium hirsutum cultivar TM-1 chromosome 19, whole genome shotgun sequence